rnacentral:rRNA from 1 species
UGCAAGUCGAACGCGAAAGCCUCCUUCGGGGGGCAAGUAGAGUGGCGCACGGGUGAGUAACACGUAGGUAAUCUACCUUUGGAUUGGGAAUAACCACCGGAAACGGUGGCUAAUACCGAAUAAUGCAGCGGCACCUAAUGGUGACAGUUGUUAAAGCGGGGGAUCGCAAGACCUCGCGUCUGAAGAGGAGCCUGCGGCAGAUUAGCUAGUUGGUAAGGUAACGGCUUACCAAGGCGAUGAUCUGUAGCCGGCCUGAGAGGGCGGUCGGCCACACUGACACUGACAUACGGGUCAGACUCCUACGGGAGGCAGCAGUCGGGAAUUUUGGGCAAUGGGCGAAAGCCUGACCCAGCAACGCCGCGUGAAGGAUGAAAUCCUUCGGGAUGUAAACUUCGCAAGAACGGGAAGAAUAAGUAAGGGUUAAUAUCUCUUACGAUGACGGUACUGUUUGUAAGCUCCGGCUAACUCCGUGCCAGCAGCCGCGGUAAUACGGGGGGAGCAAGCGUUGUUCGGAUUUACUGGGCGUAAAGGGCGCGUAGGCGGCCACCGCAAGUCGACUGUGAAAUCUCCGGGCUUAACCCGGAAAGGUCAGCCGAUACUGCGGGGCUAGAGUGCAGAAGGGGCAACUGGAAUUCUCGGUGUAGCGGUGAAAUGCGUAGAUAUCGAGAGGAACACCUGCGGCGAAGGCGGGUUGCUGGGCUGACACUGACGCUGANGCGCGAAAGCUAGGGGAGCGAACGGGAUUAGAUACCCCGGUAGUCCUAGCCUUAAACGAUGAAUGCUUGGUGUCUGGGGUUUUAUAGUCCCCGGGUGCCGUCGCUAACGCUUUAAGCAUUCCGCCUGGGGAGUACGGUCGCAAGACUG